GAGCGGCGAACGGGUGAGUAACACGUGGGUGAUCUGCCCUGUACUUCGGGAUAAGCUUGGGAAACUGGGUCUAAUACCGGAUAUGACCAUGGGAUGCAUGUCUUGUGGUGGAAAGAUUUAUCGGUGCAGGAUGGGCCCGCGGCCUAUCAGCUUGUUGGUGGGGUAAUGGCCUACCAAGGCGACGACGGGUAGCCGACCUGAGAGGGUGAUCGGCCACACUGGGACUGAGACACGGCCCAGACUCCUACGGGAGGCAGCAGUGGGGAAUAUUGCACAAUGGGCGGAAGCCUGAUGCAGCGACGCCGCGUGAGGGAUGACGGCCUUCGGGUUGUAAACCUCUUUCGACAGGGACGAAGGGGAACUGACGGUACCUGUAGAAGAAGCACCGGCCAACUACGUGCCAGCAGCCGCGGUAAUACGUAGGGUGCGAGCGUUGUCCGGAAUUACUGGGCGUAAAGAGCUUGUAGGCGGUUCGUCGCGUCGAUCGUGAAAACUUGCAGCUCAACUGUGAGCUUGCGGUCGAUACGGGCGGACUAGAGUACUUCAGGGGAGACUGGAAUUCCU
rnacentral:rRNA from 1 species